AUUGGAGAGGAACCGGAAUAGUCUAUGAACAGAACAGUGCAAAAGAAAAAGUGAUUCAGUAGGCUAGGUGAAUGACAUUACUUACCCAAGUACAUCAUCCAGUCAGUCGUAGCGAAAGCUUCCAGAAAGAACGACGCUGCUGCGGACGCCAUGGCGAUAAGACCAACAGUCACGUGACUGACGUAGUUCUGGAUCACCUGUGUGCACACAGAAUCCCAGGGGAUUGCCAUGGUGAACAAGAGGGUUGAGGAUAACUUUCUCAGGUCGUUGGAGAGUCUCUGGCAUGAAGAAGAACACAAGGAGUGUCGCAAAGAAGAUUAAGGAUACACACAGG